UAGCUGUUUCGUCUGUCUGGGAAAAAAUUAGCUGCCAGGUGUCCUAAGGCUAGCUCCAGAGAGGACGGAAACCUCUCGUUGAGUAAAAGGGCAAAAGCUUACUUGAUCUUGAUUUCUCAGUACGAACACGGAACGUGAAAACGAGGCCUAUCGUGUAAAGAACGUUUAA
rnacentral:ncRNA from 1 species